GGUCAGAGCUUUAAGCCAAUAAUUGAACUUUUCUUGCUACUGUGGUACAGUUAGUUCCCUGCUCAUGCUUUUAGCUGCCAAAGCCCCUUCCUUUCUUUCUUUCAUCGCUGAUCCUUAAGAUGCACGCAUCGGGGCAGCAACAAGGGCCCACCCCACUGAGCAAGCUCCUGUACUGUACGGAGCACAAGCAGUUCAUUGGGCUCGAUUUUCGCAAUCAUACUGGUUCCACCAAUUACCGUCUAGAAUUCGACAGUUCCGAGAUCGGGCCAGAACCGUAGUAUGCUAAGAUCUACUGUAGGCAACAUUUUCCGCAGUUCCAGAGAUAUUUCAACGGCGAAAGCUUGUUCCUUUUGUCUUGGCGGAUAUGGCCAAGUUAUUGGUAAAGCCCGCAGUCAAAGGAACCGGUGAUCAAACCCAUUUCACUCCCUCUCUUUCUCUCUCUGUUUGUGCGUGGAGGAAACGUGCCCGCCCGCUCACGUUCCGUUUGGGCGGGUAAACAACUCAUGGAGUUAGCAUGCGAAGCUGCAGGGAGGUGGUGACUGGUGGGGUCCACGCUUGCGCAUGGAGGAUUUACCAUUGGACCUAAUGAUUGUGACCAAAAAGGGAAAAUAUGGAAGGAAGUCUUAAGAAGUUGUGGCAUUCACAGGAGGGUUGGAAGCUGGUAUUAUGAGCUCAAUUGGGCUGUCAUGAAUCUCAAAGGCAAAGCAUUCACAAGUCGCUCCUCAAGAUUGCAUGGAAUUCAUAUGUUUACACGAUUGGCUUUUUGGAGACAAAAUGAUCUCUCUGCAGCAAGUUUGGAUUUCUAUUCGAAAUACAGUGCAGGGAAGACUUCUGGCCAUUCUUGACUUAGAGAAAAUGAUAAGGAAUGAGGCACAGAAGAAGCUCUUAACUCUUAAGGGAUUGGGGCGUUUUCAGAUAGUUAUUGCUGCUGUAUUUCGUUUAGAGCUCUUCUAGGGGCUUUUGUGUGGGCCGGCGUGCCCGUUGGAAUUUAAUGCCUUGUACUGGACUGAGGCCUGCUACUGUAGGCUCGAUUGUAUUUGGUCGUUUUAUCAAUAAGCGCUAAGCUGGUUUCGACCAAAAAAAAAAUUUGUUUCUCCAAUUCUAUUGCGAUUGGAGAUCUUUGUACCCAUA